rnacentral:rRNA from 1 species
UACAGAGGUCUCAAGCGUUGUUCGGAUUCAUUGGGCGUAAAGGGUGCGUAGGUGGUGCUGUAAGUCAGGUGUGAAAUCUCGGGGCUCAACCCCGAAACUGCACUUGAUACUGCAGUGCUCGAGGACUGGAGAGGAGAUUGGAAUCCAUGGUGUAGCAGUGAAAUGCGUAGAUAUCAUGAGGAAGACCAGUGGCGAAGGCGGAUCUCUGGACAGUUCCUGACACUGAGGCACGAAGGCCAGGGGAGCAAACGGG